rnacentral:rRNA from 1 species
AUUGAACGCUGCCGGCAGGCUUAACACAUGCAAGUCGAGCGAGCGGCGGAAGGGUGAGUAAUGUCUGGGAAACUGCCUGAUGGAGGGGGAUAACUACUGGAAACGGUAGCUAAUACCGCAUACCCUCAGAUGUGCCCAGAUGGGAUUAGCUAGUAGGUGGGGUAAUGGCUCACCUGGGCGAAGAUCCCUAGCUGGUCUGAGAGGCUGACCAGACACACUGGAAGUGUGACCAGGUCCAGACUCCUACGGGAGGCAUCAGUGGGGAAUAUUGCACAAGGGGCGCGAGCAUGAUGCAGCCAUGCCGCGUGUGUGAAGAAGGCCUUCGGGUUGGAAAGCACUGUCAGCGAGGAGGCGUUACUCGCAGAAGAGGCACCGGCUAACUCCGUGCCAGCAGCCGCGGUAAUAC